rnacentral:rRNA from 1 species
GCGUUGAAAAGCUCGGGGAUGACUUGUGGGUAGCGGUGAAAUUCCAAUCGAGCCCGGAGAUAGCUGGUUCUCCCCGAAAUAGCUUUAGGGCUAGCCUCAAGGUGAGAGAUACGGAGGUAGAGCACUGAAUGUCCUAGGGGGUAUUGCACCUACCGAAGACUAUCAAACUCCGAAUGCCGUCAUCUUAUACUUGGGAGUCAGACUGUGGGUGAUAAGAUUCAUAGUCGAAAGGGCAACAGCCCAGAUCGUCAGCUAAGGUCCCUAAAUGUAAGUUAAGUGGUAAAGGAUGUGGGAUUGCACAGACAACCAGGAUGUUGGCUUAGAAGCAGCCACUCAUUCAAAGAGUGCGUAAUAGCUCACUGGUCGAGUGAUCCUGCGCCGAAGAUUUCCGGGGCUAAAACUUACUACCGAAGCUACGGCAUCAGUAAUGAGGGGUAGGGGAGCUUCCCAUACGGGUUGAAGCAUGACCGUAAGGACAUGUGGACAGUAUGGGAGUGAGAAUGUUGGCAUGAGUAGCGAGAUGUGGGUG